CCCCGACCUGUUCGAUCCCCAAUCUAACCCCUCUCUCUCUCUCUCUCCAUCUCACCAUCCACACACCCUAACCCUAACCCGACCGCGCCGCCGCUCCCAACCUGCGCGCCUCCGCCCCAAACCACCCGCCGGUCCCCCGCGCCACCACAUCUCGGACCCCGGCCUCCCUUCCCUUAGUCCGCAGUAGCAGCAGCGCCGUCUGCGACGGAGCAGCGCCGUCCGCCGCCGAGGAACAGCAGCGCUGUCCGCCACCAAGGAUCCGCCGCGCGCCGGGAACAGCAGCACCAUACGCCGGAGGAUCCGCCGCACCGACUGCUGUUGAGGAGGAGCCCGCCGUUCUUCCUCCACCGGCGACCCCUGUCCCGGCCCCGCCUCUAGAUUUCAACAAGAACAUUAUCUCAGCUGUUGUUGAUUUCAGAACAGAUCGUUGGCAUUGUACCUUCAAGGGACUAUCCUUUUGCCUACUGAGCACACAAAACAAAUGUGUCUAUAUAUUUAUUUAAGUGAAACAACAUGCUUCCAUUUUUGGUCAAUCGGUGGAUCUGACUAAUACAUAACUACAUAUAUAUGUGUGAGGUAUUAUUCAUGUGUCAUUUUUCGUAAUUCAAGUAAGCUGAAACUGAUGGUCUCAGAUGGUUUGUGUAUUAACUUUGAUCAGAACCUGCAUCUACAAAUACUGAGUAGAGGGUUGCCUUUUGUGCAGGAAUUUGCAGCAGGAUCCCUUGCCUGUGCUCUCCGCUUGUCCUCACUCCUUAGACCUUCCCUUUGCUUAUCACCAUACAUUUUAUUCAGAGUGGUGUCAAGAUGCAUCUCCUCUGCCAAGAUGAUGGGCAGAGGGCCUAAGCUCUAGGGUCAAAUGGCGGGAAGUAUCAAGUCAAAGAUAUUAUGGCUUUUGUACAUCUUCUAUUUUCUUUAAAUGGAAGUUGGUGUUGGUUUGGUAAUCGAAGACUUGGGCUCUUCCAUAGUGUUUUGUAGAGUGAUCGAACACUUAAGUCUCUUAUGAACUAGGCCCAUAAUUUGUAACAUGCCACAACUUGUAUGUUGAGUUGAGUAUUUGUUUCAAUGGUUGUAACAAGGAAAACUGAUCUUCUAUAUAUGUUGAAUAAAUGCUUUGGUCAAUGGCAUUUUGUGAUGAAUAGAAGAGUGUAAUUGUUGGUAUA